rnacentral:pre_miRNA from 14 species
AGGUCAGAGUCCAGGGUCAGUCCAUGUAUACUCUUGAAAGACCCCCGGAGUGGGGAGACCCUCACUCAAGUCUCGGGAUGACGUGACCCCCCAAGAACUCACACAAGAUC